CCUUUGGAGUAUUAUAUCAAACACGAGUAGAUUUUUCGAAAGUGGAUACUAUGAAUAAGGAA
rnacentral:sRNA from 12 species